rnacentral:rRNA from 1 species
GCUUACGGCCAUACCACCCUGAGAACGCCCGAUCUCGUCCGAUCUCGGAAGCUAAGCAGGGUCGGGCCUGGUUAGUACUUGGAUGGGAGACCGCCUGGGAAUACCAGGUGCUGUAA